AACGAACGCUGGUGGCAUGCCUAAUACAUGCAAGUCGAACGAGACCUUCGGGUCUAGUGGCGCACGGGUGCGUAACGCGUGGGAAUCUGCCCUUCGGUUCGGAAUAACAGUUAGAAAUGACUGCUAAUACCGGAUAAUGACGUAAGUCCAAAGAUUUAUCGCCGAAGGAUGAGCCCGCGUAGGAUUAGCUUGUUGGUGAGGUAAAGGCUCACCAAGGCGACGAUCCUUAGCUGGUCUGAGAGGAUGAUCAGCCACACUGGGACUGAGACACGGCCCAGACUCCUACGGGAGGCAGCAGUAGGGAAUAUUGGAUAAUGGGCGAAAGCCUGAUCCAGCAAUGCCGCGUGAGUGAUGAAGGCCUUAGGGUUGUAAAGCUCUUUUACCCGGGAUGAUAAUGACAGUACCGGGAGAAUAAGCUCCGGCUAACUCCGUGCCAGCCGCCGCGGUAA
rnacentral:rRNA from 1 species